GACGAACGCUGGCGGCGUGCCUAAUACAUGCAAGUAGAACGCACAGUUUAUACCGUAGCUUGCUACACCAUAAACUGUGAGUUGCGAACGGGUGAGUAACGCGUAGGUAACCUGCCUGGUAGCGGGGGAUAACUAUUGGAAACGAUAGCUAAUACCGCAUAAUAUUGAUUAUUGCAUGAUAAUUGAUUGAAAGAUGCUAUUGCAUCACUACCAGAUGGACCUGCGUUGUAUUAGCUAGUAGGUGAGGUAACGGCUCACCUAGGCGACGAUACAUAGCCGACCUGAGAGGGUGAUCGGCCACACUGGGACUGAGACACGGCCCAGACUCCUACGGGAGGCAGCAGUAGGGAAUCUUCGGCAAUGGACGAAAGUCUGACCGAGCAACGCCGCGGGAGUGAAGAAGGGUUUCGGAUCGUAAAGCUCUGUUGUAAGAGAAGAACGGGUGUGAGAGUGGAAAGUUCACACUGUGACGGUAUCUUACCAGAAAGAGACGGCUAACUACGUG
rnacentral:rRNA from 1 species